GGGGAAUAUUGCGCAAUGGGGGAAACCCUGACGCAGCAACGCCGCGUGAGCGAAGAAGGCCUUCGGGUCGUAAAGCUCUGUCAUUGGGGAAGAAAAAAAUGACGGUACCCAAUGAGGAAGCCCCGGCUAACUACGUGCCAGCAGCCGCGGUAAUACGUAGGGGGCAAGCGUUGUCCGGAAUUACUGGGCGUAAAGGGUGCGUAGGCGGCCUGAUAAGUCAGAUGUGAAAUACCGAGGCUCAACCUCGGAGGUGCAUUUGAAACUGUUAGGCUUGAGUGCAGGAGAGGAAAGUGGAAUUCCUAGUGUAGCGGUGAAAUGCGUAGAGAUUAGGAGGAACACCAGUGGCGAAGGCGACUUUCUGGACUGUAACUGACGCUGAGGCACGAAAGCGUGGGGAGCAAAC
rnacentral:rRNA from 1 species